UGGAUCCAGACUUUGAUCCUGGCUCAGGAUGAACGCUAGCUACAGGCUUAACACAUGCAAGUCGAGGGGCAGCAUGACGACAGCUUGCUAUUGUCGAUGGCGACCGGCGCACGGGUGAGUAACGCGUAUCCAACCUUCCCGUUGCUAGGGGAUAACCUUGCGAAAGUAAGACUAAUACCCUAUGAUGUUCUUCGCAGACAUCUAAAGAGAACCAAAGAUUUAUCGGCAUCGGAUGGGGAUGCGUCUGAUUAGGUUGUUGGCGGGGUAACGGCCCACCAAGCCUACGAUCAGUAGGGGUUCUGAGAGGAAGGUCCCCCACAUUGGAACUGAGACACGGUCCAAACUCCUACGGGAGGCAGCAGUGAGGAAUAUUGGUCAAUGGACGGAAGUCUGAACCAGCCAAGUAGCGUGCAGGACGACGGCCCUAUGGGUUGUAAACUGCUUUUAUGUGGGAAUAAAGUGAGGGACGUGUCCCUUUUUGUAGGUACCACAUGAAUAAGGACCGGCUAAUUCCGUGCCAGCAGCCGCGGUAAUACGGAAGGUCCGGGCGUUAUCCGGAUUUAUUGGGUUUAAAGGGAGCGUAGGCCGUCUUUUAAGCGUGUUGUGAAAUACUGUCGCUCAACGACAGAGGUGCAGCGCGAACUGGGAGACUUGAGUGCGCGGAAUGCAGGCGGAAUUCGUCGUGUAGCGGUGAAAUGCUUAGAUAUGACGAAGAACUCCGAUUGCGAAGGCAGCUUGCAGUAGCGUAACUGACGCUGAAGCUCGAAAGUGCGGGUAUCGAACAGGAUUAGAUACCCUGGUAGUCCGCACGGUAAACGAUGGAUGCUCGCUGUGUGCCCCUGGGUACGCGGCCAAGCGAAAGCGUUAAGCAUCCCACCUGGGGAGUACGCCGGCAACGGUGCAACUCAAAUGAAUUGACGGA
rnacentral:rRNA from 1 species